GGGGGGGGGGGGGGGGGGGGGGGGGGGGGGGGGGGGGGGGGGGGGGGGCAGUGCCCCCAGUGUCCCCAUGUCUCCAGUGUCCCCAGUGUCCCCAUGUCCCCAGUGUCCCCAGUGUCCCCAGUGUCCCAGUGUCCCCAGUGCCCCCAGUGUCCCCAGUGUCACUCACGGGGCCCGGGGCUCAGGUUCAGCUGGCACACCGAGUAGCCCACGCGGUUGGUGACCCGGCACUGGUAGGUGCCAGCGUGGGCCCCGGUCAGGCUGCGGAUCAGGAGGUCACCGGGAGCGCGGCCUGGGGACAGGACGGGGCAGCACAGGUGGCACUGUCACCUCAGUGCCCUCCGUGUCCCCUGGAGAGCGGCGUGGGACAUGGGGACGCAGGGACGGGGACACAGGGACAGGGACACACAGGGAUAGAGGGACAGAGGGACACAGGGACACAGGGACACAGGGACAUGGAGACACCGGGACGGGGACACAGGGACAGGGACACACAGGGACACACAGGGACACACAGGGACAGAGGGACACAGGGACAGAGGGACAGGGACACACAGGGACAGAGGGACAGAGGGACAUGGAGACACGGGGAUGGGGACGCAGGGACAGGGACAGAGGGACAGGGACACACAGGGACACACAGGGACACACAGGGACAGAGGGACACAGGGACAGAGGGACACGGAGACACGGGGCAGGGACACACAGACACAGGGACACAUGGACACACAGGGACACAGGGACACGGACACAGGGACAUGGGAACAUGGGGACAGUGGCACACAGGGACACACGGGGACAUGGACAUGCAGGGACACGGGUGACAGGGACACGGGUGACAGGGACACGGACACACGGACACAUGGACACACGGACACAUGGACACACGGUCACACGUGGACACGAACAGGGACACACGAACACAGGUAAAGGGACAGGGACACAUGGACACACGGACACAUGGACACACUGACAGGGACAGUGACGCACGGACACAUGGACACACAGGCAAGGACGCAUGGACAUGGACAGAUGGACAGAUGGACAGAUGGACAGAUGGACAGAUGGACAGAUGGACAGAUGGACAGAUGGACAGAUGGACAGAUGGACAGAUGGACAGAUGGACAGAUGGACAGAUGGACAGAUGGACAGAUGGACAGAUGGACAGAUGGACAGAUGGACAGAUGGACAGAUGGACAGAUGGACAGAUGGACAGAUGGACAGAUGGACAGAUGGACAGAUGGACAGAUGGACAGAUGGACAGAUGGACAGAUGGACAGAUGGACAGAUGGACAGAUGGACAGAUGGACAGAUGGACAGAUGGACAGAUGGACAGAUGGACAGAUGGACAGAUGGACAGAUGGACAGAUGGACAGAUGGACAGAUGGACAGAUGGACAGAUGGACAGAUGGACAGAUGGACAGAUGGACAGAUGGACAGAUGGACAGAUGGACAGAUGGACAGAUGGACAGAUGGACAGAUGGACAGAUGGACAGAUGGACAGAUGGACAGAUGGACAGAUGGACAGAUGGACAGAUGGACAGAUGGACAGAUGGACAGAUGGACAGAUGGACAGAUGGACAGAUGGACAGAUGGACAGAUGGACAGAUGGACAGAUGGACAGAUGGACAGAUGGACAGAUGGACAGAUGGACAGAUGGACAGAUGGACAGAUGGACAGAUGGACAGAUGGACAGAUGGACAGAUGGACAGAUGGACAGAGACAUGGACGUGGACACACGGGGACAAGGGUGACAGGGACAUGUGUGACAGAGACACGGACACACAGACACGGACACGCAGACAUGGGCGUGGACACACGGACACGGACAGAUGGACACACGGACACGGACACACAGACACGGACACGCAGACAUGGGCGUGGACACACGGACACGGACAGAUGGACACACGGACACGGACACGCAGACAUGGGCGUGGACACACGGACACGGACACACAGACUACAACAGGGAAACCGGUGGGGACACCACGGACACCA
rnacentral:lncRNA from 12 species